rnacentral:rRNA from 1 species
AUAACUUCGGGAAACCGGAGCUAAUACCGGAUAAUAUAUUGAACCGCAUGGUUCAAUAGUGAAAGACGGUUUUGCUGUCACUUAUAGAUGGAUCCGCGCCGCAUUAGCUAGUUGGUAAGGUAACGGCUUACCAAGGCAACGAUGCGUAGCCGACCUGAGAGGGUGAUCGGCCACACUGGAACUGAGACACGGGUCCCAGACUCCUACGGGAGGCAGCAGCC